UUUUGCCUACGGGGGGCAGCAGUGGGGAAUAUUGCACAAUGGGGGAAACCCUGAUGCAGCAAUGCCGCGUGGGUGAAGAAGAACUCCGGUAUGUAAAGCCCUAUCAGUAGGGAAGAAAAUGACGGUACCUGACUAAGAAGCCCCGGCUAACUACGUGCCAGCAGCCGCGGUAAUACGUAGGGGGCGAGCGUUAUCCGGAUUUACUGGGUGUAAAGGGAGCGCAGGCGGCGUGGCAAGUCAGAUGUGAAAACCCGGGGCCCAACCCCGGGACUGCAUUUGAAACUGCCAUGCUGGAGUGCCGGAGG
rnacentral:rRNA from 1 species